CAGGUUUACCUGUGUGACUGCGUACCUUUUGUAUAAUGGGUCAGCGACUUAUAUUCUGUAGCAAGGUUAACCGCAUAGGGGAGCCGGAGGGAAACCGAGUCUUAACCGGGCGUUAAGUUGCAGGGUAUAGACCCGAAACCCGGUGAUCUAGCCAUGGGCAGGUUGAAGGUUGGGUAACACUAACUGGAGGACCGAACCGACUAAUGUUGAAAAAUUAGCGGAUGACCUGUGGCUGGGGGUGAAAGGCCAAUCAAACCGGGAGAUAGCUGGUUCUCCCCGAAAGCUAUUUAGGUAGCGCCUCGUGAAUUCAUCUCCGGGGGUAGAGCACUGUUUCGGCUAGGGGGCCAUCCCGGCUUACCAACCCGAUGCAAACUGCGAAUACCGGAGAAUGUUAUCACGGGAGACACACGGCGGGUGCUAACGUCCGUCGUGAAGAGGGAAACAACCCAGACCGCCAGCUAAGGUCCCAAAGUCAUGGUUAAGUGGGAAACGAUGUGGGAAGGCCCAGACAGCCAGGAUGUUGGCUUAGAAGCAGCCAUCAUUUAAAGAAAGCGUAAUAGCUCACUGGUCGAGUCGGCCUGCGCGGAAGAUGUAACGGGGCUAAACCAUGCACCGAAGCUGCGGCAGCGACACUCAGGUGUUGUUGGGUAGGGGAGCGUUCUGUAAGCCUGUGAAGGUGUGCUGUGAGGCAUGCUGGAGGUAUCAGAAGUGCGAAUGCUGACAUAAGUAACGAUAAAGCGGGUGAAAAGCCCGCUCGCCGGAAGACCAAGGGUUCCUGUCCAACGUUAAUCGGGGCAGGGUGAGUCGACCCCUAAGGCGAGGCCGAAAGGCGUAGUCGAUGGGAAACGGGUUAAUAUUCCCGUACUUGGUGUUACUGCGAAGGGGGGACGGAGAAGGCUAUGUUGGCCGGGCGACGGUUGUCCCGGUUUAAGCGUGUAGGUGUGUGUUCCAGGUAAAUCCGGUUCACUUUAACACUGAGGCGUGACGACGAGGCACUACGGUGCUGAAGCAACAAAUGCCCUGCUUCCAGGAAAAGCCUCUAAGCAUCAGGUAACAUCAAAUCGUACCCCAAACCGACACAGGUGGUCAGGUAGAGAAUACCAAGGCGCUUGAGAGAACUCGGGUGAAGGAACUAGGCAAAAUGGUGCCGUAACUUCGGGAGAAGGCACGCUGACACGUAGGUGAAGUGAUUUACUCAUGGAGCUGAAGUCAGUCGAAGAUACCAGCUGGCUGCAACUGUUUAUUAAAAACACAGCACUGUGCAAACACGAAAGUGGACGUAUACGGUGUGACGCCUGCCCGGUGCCGGAAGGUUAAUUGAUGGGGUCAGCGCAAGCGAAGCUCCUGAUCGAAGCCCCGGUAAACGGCGGCCGUAACUAUAACGGUCCUAAGGUAGCGAAAUUCCUUGUCGGGUAAGUUCCGACCUGCACGAAUGGCGUAAUGAUGGCCAGGCUGUCUCCACCCGAGACUCAGUGAAAUUGAACUCGCUGUGAAGAUGCAGUGUACCCGCGGCAAGACGGAAAGACCCCGUGAACCUUUACUAUAGCUUGACACUGAACAUUGAGCCUUGAUGUGUAGGAUAGGUGGGAGGCUUUGAAGUGUGGACGCCAGUCUGCAUGGAGCCGACCUUGAAAUACCACCCUUUAAUGUUUGAUGUUCUAACGUGGACCCGUAAUCCGGGUUGCGGACAGUGUCUGGUGGGUAGUUUGACUGGGGCGGUCUCCUCCUAAAGAGUAACGGAGGAGCACGAAGGUUGGCUAAUCCUGGUCGGACAUCAGGAGGUUAGUGCAAUGGCAUAAGCCAGCUUGACUGCGAGCGUGACGGCGCGAGCAGGUGCGAAAGCAGGUCAUAGUGAUCCGGUGGUUCUGAAUGGAAGGGCCAUCGCUCAACGGAUAAAAGGUACUCCGGGGAUAACAGGCUGAUACCGCCCAAGAGUUCAUAUCGACGGCGGUGUUUGGCACCUCGAUGUCGGCUCAUCACAUCCUGGGGCUGAAGUAGGUCCCAAGGGUAUGGCUGUUCGCCAUUUAAAGUGGUACGCGAGCUGGGUUUAGAACGUCGUGAGACAGUUCGGUCCCUAUCUGCCGUGGGCGCUGGAGAACUGAGGGGGGCUGCUCCUAGUACGAGAGGACCGGAGUGGACGCAUCACUGGUGUUCGGGUUGUCAUGCCAAUGGCACUGCCCGGUAGCUAAAUGCGGAAGAGAUAAGUGCUGAAAGCAUCUAAGCACGAAACUUGCCCCGAGAUGAGUUCUCCCUGAGACUUUAGGUCUCCUGAAGGAACGUUGAAGACGACGACGUUGAUAGGCCGGGUGUGUAAGCGCAGCGAUGCGUUGAGCUAACCGGUACUAAUGAACCGUGAGGCUUAACCUUACAACGCCGAAG
rnacentral:rRNA from 1 species